rnacentral:tRNA from 1 species
UAACGUAUGGUUUAGUUGGUCAGAACGCUUGGACGGUUUCUAAAGAGGCGCGAGUUUAAAUCCCGUUACGUUCA